rnacentral:rRNA from 1 species
AUAAAAAGGGAAAGAUUUAUUGGUAAGAGAUUAGCCUGUAUUGUAUCAGUUAGUUGGUGGGGUAAUGGCCUACCAAGACGAUGACGCAUAACUGGUUUGAGAGGAUGAUCAGUCACACUGGAACUGAGACACGGUCCAGACUCCUACGGGAGGCAGCAGUGGGGAAUAUUGCACAAUGGACGAAAGUCUGAUGCAGCAACGCCGCGUGGAGGAUGACACAUUUCGGUGCGUAAACUCCUUUUAUAUAAGAAGAUAAUGACGGUAUUAUAUGAAUAAGCACCGGCUAACUCCGUGCCAGCAGCCGCGGUAAUACGGAGGGUGCAAGCGUUACUCGGAAUCACUGGGCGUAAAGAGCGUGUAGGCGGAUUGAUAAGUUUGAAGUGAAAUCCUAUAGCUUAACUAUAGAACUGCUUUGAAAACUGUUAAUCUAGAAUGUGGGAGAGGUAGAUGGAAUUUCUGGUGUAGGGGUAAAAUCCGUAGAGAUCAGAAGGAAUACCGAUUGCGAAGGCGAUCUACUGGAACAAUAUUGACGCUGAGACGCGAAAGCGUGGGGAGCAAACAGGAUUAGAUACCCUGGUAGUCCACGCCCUAAACGAUGUACACUAGUUGUUGUGAGGCUCGACCUUGCAGUAAUGCAGUUAACACAUUAAGUGUACCGCCUGGGGAGUACGGUCGCAAGAUUAAAACUCAAAGGAAUAGACGGGGACCCGCACAAGCGGUGGAGCAUGUGGUUUAAUUCGACGAUACACGAAGAACCUUACCUGGACUUGACAUAGUAAGAAUGAUUUAGAGAUAGAUUAGUGUCUGCUUGCAGAAACUUGCAUACAGGUGCUGCACGGCUGUCGUCAGCUCGUGUCGUGAGAUGUUGGGUUAAGUCCCGCAACGAGCGCAACCCUCGUCCUUAGUUGCUAACAGUUCGGCUGAGAACUCUAAGGAGACUGCCUACGCAAGUAGGAGGAAGGUGAGGAUGACGUCAAGUCAUCAUGGCCCUUACGUCCAGGGCUACACACGUGCUACAAUGGGGUAUACAAAGAGCAGCAAUACGGUGACGUGGAGCAAAUCUCAAAACUGCCUCCCAGUUCGGAUUGUAGUCUGCAACUCGACUACAUGAAGUUGGAAUCGCUAGUAA